UACGUAGGGAGCAAGCGUUGUCCGGAAUCAUUGGGCGUAAAGCGCGCGUAGGUGGCUUCGUAAGUCCGUUGUGAAAGUCAAGGGCUCAACCUUUGAAAGCCGAUGGAUACUGCGGAGCUAGAGUACGGAAGAGGCGAGUGGAAUUCCUGGUGUAGCGGUGGAAUGCGCAGAUAUCAGGAGGAACACCAAUAGCGAAGGCAGCUCGCUGGGACGUUACUGACGCUGAGGAGCGAAAGCGUGGGGAGCGAACAGG
rnacentral:rRNA from 1 species